GCGCCCCUGGGCCCCACCGCGGGCGCCCGCCGGAGGUCACCAAACUCUUGAUAAUUUAUGGCCUCUCUGAGUCUUCUGUACUGAAUAAGUCAAAACUUUCAACAACGGAUCUCUUGGUUCUGGCAUCGAUGAAGAACGCAGCGAAAUGCGAUAAGUAAUGUGAAUUGCAGAAUUCAGUGAAUCAUCGAAUCUUUGAACGCACAUUGCGCCCGCCAGUAUUCUGGCGGGCAUGCCUGUUCGAGCGUCAUUUCAACCAUCAAGCCCCCGGGCUUGUGUUGGGGACCUGCGGCUGCCGCAGGCCCUGAAAAGCAGUGGCGGGCUCGCUGUCGCACCGAGCGUAGUAGCAUACAUCUCGCUCUGGUCGCGCCGCGGGUUCCGGCCGUUAAACCACCUUUUAACC
rnacentral:rRNA from 1 species